AACGAACGCUGGCGGCAGGCUUAACACAUGCAAGUCGAGCGCCCCGCAAGGGGAGCGGCAGACGGGUGAGUAACGCGUGGGAAUCUACCCAUCUCUACGGAAUAACGCAUGGAAACGUGUGCUAAUACCGUAUACGUCCUUCGGGAGAAAGAUUUAUCGGAGAUGGAUGAGCCCGCGUUGGAUUAGCUAGUUGGUGGGGUAAAGGCCUACCAAGGCGACGAUCCAUAGCUGGUCUGAGAGGAUGAUCAGCCACACUGGGACUGAGACACGGCCCAGACUCCUACGGGAGGCAGCAGUGGGGAAUAGUGGACAAUGGGCGCAAGCCUGAUCCAGCCAUGCCGCGUGAGUGAUGAAGGCCCUAGGGUUGUAAAGCUCUUUCACCGGUGAAGAUAAUGACGGUAACCGGGGAAGAAGCCCCGGCUAACUUCGUGCCAGCAGCCGCCGUAACAC
rnacentral:rRNA from 1 species